CUCUAUAUUUUUCAUGCACCUUUUUUCUUACGCGUGAACCUUUCACGCUAUUCUCCCCUUUUGUGAGAGGAGAUGAGGUGCUAAUCCAUCUCUACAUCUAAUCCUAAUCCCACUAGAAACUUUUUAGGGUUAGGAUCAAGAGUUUUGGGGUGUGAGGACUGUUUUGGAUGGAGUUCCGUGGCCAUCUCAUUUUUGGCAUUCCUUAUCCCACCGCAAAAACC
rnacentral:lncRNA from 1 species